GUGCUUACUGUGGCAGCACAUAUAAUAAAAUUGGAAUGAUACAGAGAACAUUAGUAUGGCCCCUGUGCAAGAACAUGCAAAUUCAUGAAGCAUUCCAUAUUUAA